GCGGCUGUAGCUCAGUUGGUAGAGCCCCCGGAUUGUGAUUCCGGUUGUCGUGGGUUCAAGCCCCAUCAGUCGCCCCA
rnacentral:tRNA from 1 species